UCUAGAACUCGAGAUAUGGGCUGAACACUGAACAGUGUCUGGGCUAUAGGACAGAUUCUGACUUCUCGUUUCUUGCUACAAGAAAGUUUUAGGCCUAUGUCUUAGCUUUCCAUC
rfam:Populus trichocarpa scaffold_7_contig_123, whole genome shotgun sequence.